rnacentral:rRNA from 1 species
AGAGUUUGAUCCUGGCUCAGAAGUCGUAACAAGGUAACCACUAGAGUUUGAUCCUGGCUCAGGACAGACUUAAGUCGUAACAAGGUAACCAAGUCGUAACAAGGUAACCACUGAGAGUUUGAUCCUGGGUCAGAAGUCGUAACAAGGUAACCGCCAGAGUUUGAUCCUGGCUCAGACUCUAAGUCGUAACAAGGUAACCACUAAGAGUUUGAUCCUGGCUCAGAAGUCGUGACAAGGUAACCACUGAGAGUCUGAUCCUGGCUCAGAAGUCGUAACAAGGUAACCACUGAGAGUUUGAUCCUGGCUCAGAAGUCGUAACAAGGUAACCAUUGAGAGUUUGAUCCUGGCUCAGAAGUCGUAACAAGGUAACCACUAGAGUUUGAUCCUGGCUCAGAUUGAACGCUGGCGGCAUGCCUUACACAUGCAAGUCGAACGGUAACAGGUCUUCGGAUGCUGACGAGUGGCGAACGGGUGAGUAAUACAUCGGAACGUGCCCAGUAAUGGGGGAUAGCUCGGCGAAAGCCGGAUUAAUACCGCAUACGCCCUGAGGGGGAAAGUGGGGGACCGCAAGGCCUCACGUUAUUGGAGCGGCCGAUGGCUGAUUAGCUAGUUGGUAGGGUAAAGGCCUACCAAGGCGACGAUCAGUAGCUGGUCUGAGAGGACGAUCAGCCACACUGGGACUGAGACACGGCCCAGACUCCUACGGGAGGCAGCAGUGGGGAAUUUUGGACAAUGGGGGAAACCCUGAUCCAGCAAUGCCGCGUGUGCGAAGAAGGCCUUCGGGUUGUAAAGCACUUUUGUCAGGGAAGAAAUCCUUUGGGCUAAUACCCUAGGGGGAUGACGGUACCUGAAGAAUAAGCACCGGCUAUCUACGUGCCAGCAGCCGCGGUAAUACGUAGGGUGCAAGCGUUAAUCGGAAUUACUGGGCGUAAAGCGUGCGCAGGCGGUUGUGUAAGACAGGUGUGAAAUCCCCGGGCUUAACCUGGGAAUUGCAUUUGUGACUGCACGACUAGAGUGUGUCAGAGGGGGGUGGAAUUCCACGUGUAGCAGUGAAAUGCGUAGAUAUGUGGAGGAACACCAAUGGCGAAGGCAGCCCCCUGGGAUAACACUGACGCUUAUGCACGAAAGCGUGGGGAGCAAACAGGAUUAGAUACCCUGGUAGUCCACGCCCUAAACGAUGUCAACUAGUUGUUGGGGAUUUACUUCCUUGGUAACGUAGCUAACGCGUGAAGUUGACCGCCUGGGGAGUACGGCCGCAAGGUUAAAACUCAAAGGAAUUGACGGGGACCCGCACAAGCGGUGGAUGAUGUGGAUUAAUUCGAUGCAACGCGAAAAACCUUACCUACCCUUGACAUGGCAGGAACUUUCCAGAGAUGGAUU